rnacentral:rRNA from 1 species
AUGUCAGUUUCAGAUACGAACCUUCAUAAUGGAGAAAAGCCCAUCUCCGAAAUUACCGAUGCGGAACUCGGCGAAAAGCAUGGUCAUAUGAAGUUAUUAUGCUCACAGACAAGGUUCGAAAAAACCAUGAAACUGCUGUCACCAGACCACAAAAAGUACAUCAUAUCAGAAACCAGUCUUGGCGGUCUAACCCAGAUGCAUGAAGUGACUCUACGGCGCAUAAUGUUGGUUAGACUAGCCAAGAGCAUAGAUAUGGACACCCAAUCCAUUACCAUCGGAAAAACGCCAAUUCCUAUAACAAAAGAGGACGUGCAGUGUAUAUUUGGCAUUCCGAUAGAAGGGGAGGAUAUAGAGCCACAUCUGGAAAUGCAAACCGACACAGAAUUGUUUACCGCCUAUGCAAACAAUGGGCAAAUUUUGAUUUCUGACCUUGAAACGGCGAUCCGAGCUUCCAAAGCCCCAGACGGCGAUUUCCUGAGACGGUUCAUUCUGUACGCAAUUGGUACUGUUCUAGCACCAACAGCACAACAUUAUGUGGACUCGGAAUUUCUCAACCUUGUUACAGAUCUUCAAAACCUUCGGAAAUUUAACUGGGGAUGUUUCACACUUAAUCACUUCUUCAAGUCUGUUCACAAGUUUAGAAAUCGAGAUCACGUAAAUCUACAAGGAAAUCUAAUUCUGCUCCAGUAUUGGUACUGGGAGCACGUGCGUAGUGGCCGAUUGAUGUAUGCUUCUAGACCCCCUCCAUUGAUCACACGAUGGGACGAAAUGACGGCUACUUUAAGAAGCGAUGCUUACGACAAAGGAGGUCUUCAUAACGGGCUAUUGACAUGGUAG